rnacentral:rRNA from 1 species
UGGGGAAUAUUGGACAAUGGGCGCAAGCCUGAUCCAGCCAUGCCGCGUGAGUGAUGAAGGCCCUAGGGUUGUAAAGCUCUUUCACCGGUGAAGAUAAUGACGGUAACCGGAGAAGAAGCCCCGGCUAACUUCGUGCCAGCAGCCGCGGUAAUACGAAGGGGGCUAGCGUUGUUCGGAUUUACUGGGCGUAAAGCGCACGUAGGCGGACUUUUAAGCCAGGGGUGAAAUCCCGGGGCUCAACCCCGGAACUGCCUUUGAUACUGGAAGUCUUGAGUAUGGUAGAGGUGAGUGGAAUUCCGAGUGUAGAGGUGAAAUUCGUAGAUAUUCGGAGGAACACCAGUGGCGAAGGCGGCUCACUGGACCAUUACUGACGCUGAGGUGCGAAAAGCGUGGGGAGCAAAACAGGAUUAGAUACCCUGGUAGUCCACGCCGUAAACGAUGAAUGUUAGCCGUUGGGGAGUUUACUCUUCGGUGGCGCAGCUAACGCAUUAAACAUUCCGCCUGGGGAGUACGGUCGCAAGAUUAAAAACUCAAAAGGAAUUGACGGGGUCAUAGCUGUUUCCU